ensembl:snRNA U7 U7 small nuclear RNA
AAGUGGUACAAUUCUUUUAGAAUUUGUCUGGCAGGUCUUCUUGUUUUUACUGGAAAAUCCUC